GCGGAAGUAGUUCAGUGGUAGAACAUCACCUUGCCAUGGUGGGGGGCGCGGGUUCGAAUCCCGUCUUCCGCU
rnacentral:tRNA from 1 species